ACGAACGCUGGCGGCGUGCUUAACCCCUGCCAGUCGCACGGAAAGGCCCUGCUUUUGUGGGGUGCUCGCGUGGCGAACGGGUGAGUAACACGUGAGUAACCUGCCCUUGACUUUGGGAUAACUUCAGGAAACUGGGGCUAAUACCGGAUAGGAGCUCCUGCUGCAUGGUGGGGGUUGGAAAGUUUCGGCGGUUGGGGAUGGACUCGCGGCUUAUCAGCUUGUUGGUGGGGUAGUGGCUUACCAAGGCUUUGACGGGUAGCCGGCCUGAGAGGGUGACCGACCACAUUGGGACUGAGAUACGGCCCAGACUCCUACGGGAGGCAGCAGUGGGGAAUAUUGCACAAUGGGCGGAAGCCUGAUGCAGCAACGCCGCGUGCGGGAUGACGGCCUUCGGGUUGUAAACCGCUUUCGCCUGUGACGAAGCGUGAGUGACGGUAAUGGGUAAAGAAGCACCGGCUAACUACGUG
rnacentral:rRNA from 1 species